rnacentral:snoRNA from 1 species
GUGCAGCUAAUUAAGCCGACCAAGUCCCUUUCCCCGUGGGACUUUGGUGUGCAAUGGUUGCAAACAGCUGUAUGGGUUGCCUCAAGGGACCUUGGAGACAAUU